rnacentral:rRNA from 1 species
GACGAACGCUGGCGGCGUGCUUAACACAUGCAAGUCGAACGGAAAGGCCCUGCUUGCAGGGUACUCGAGUGGCGAACGGGUGAGUAACACGUGGGUGAUCUGCCCUGCACUUCGGGAUAAGCCUGGUAAACUGGGUCUAAUACCGGAUAGGAGCCAUUUUUAGUGUGAUGGUUGGAAAGUUUUUUCGGUGUAGGAUGAGCUCGCGGCCUAUCAGCUUGUUGGUGGGGUGAUGGCCUACCAAGGCGGCGACGGGUAGCCGGCCUGAGAGGGUGGACGGCCACAUUGGGACUGAGAUACGGCCCAGGCACCUACGGGAGGCAGAAGGGGGGAAUAUUGCACAAUGGGCGCCAGCCUGAUGCAGCGACGCCGCGGGGGGGAUGACGGCCUUCGGGUUGAAAACUCCUUGCGCUAGGGACGAAGCUUUUUGUGACGGUACCUAGAUAAGAAGCACCGGCUAACUACGUG